rnacentral:rRNA from 1 species
GACGAACGCUGGCGGCGUGCUUAACACAUGCAAGUCGAACGGUUAAGCGCCUUCCUUUUUGGUGGGUGUGGAUGAGUGGCGAACGGGUGAGUAACACGUUAGUAACCUGCCCCCUUCUUCUGGAUAACCGCAUGAAAGUGUGGCUAAUACGGGAUAUUCUGGGUCUGUCGCAUGAUGGGUCUGGGAAAGAUAUUGUUUCGGUGGGGGGUGGGCUCGCGGCCUAUUAGCUAGUUGGUGGGGUGGUGGCCUACCAAGGCGGCGACGGGUAACCGGCCGGAGAGGAGGGUCGGCGGCACUACGACGGAGGAGACACCGACAAGACUCCGGCAGGAGGCAGCGGGGAGGAUUAGUGAACGGGGGACACAAGGCUGAUGCAACGACGCCGCUGGAGAGAAGGAGGUCGGCUGGUAGUGAACCUCUUGCGGGAGGGAAGCAGAGCUGGCUCAUUUGUGGGUGUUUUGACGGUAGCUGGAGAAGAAGCGCCGGCUAACUACGUG